CUCUGGCCACGAGGCAUGAAGCCCUUUCUGGGGACCACAGCACCCUUACCCUCUGAUCUCCCCUGAAGUCUGGGGCACAUAGGCAGGGUCUUCCUGUCUGCAGGGUGUGUGGCCCACACUCGGCAGGUCAUCUUUCCACAGGUGACUGCAACUCUGCUCCCACCCCACAUUGUCAGCCAGCAAGGUCCAUGUCUCUUUCUGCUGCACCAGAACAGGCAUUUGCCACAGCCUAGACCAGUACUAGUGGACAUAGAGGAUGGUGCCAUGGCCGUCCUUUGCUGGCUUUGCUCCUCACUGACCCAAAAAUGGCAUUUGGCCUUUGACUCCAUCAUUACCCUCGGUGCCUAGUAGGACUUCACUCCAGACUCCUUCCUGGCCCCGCACAACCUGGAGGAUCAGCUGAAGGGUGCACUAUGACCACAGCAACUCACAAAGGCCCUGCUUCUAUUCCUCCACAGGCAAAAUGGGGCCAUCUCAGAGGUUGGGGAGGCACUGUGAGCAUAUCUCUUGUAUACAGGAAAUGUAUGUGUAAACACGGUGGCAGCCACCCUCCUCCUGUUGUUAUAUCCAUAGCAGAAGCUUCCAGCCUGAGUAGCAUGGACUGCAUAACAGUUAGAUGUGAAAAAGGGUCACCAGCCACCACUCUGCAGAGACAAGGGAGCAGCCCACAGAAGUGAAGAGUGGAGGCCGAGCCACCAGCCACUGGGGACAUCACCUGGGAUGUGUGACCCUCCCUGGCCGAGUCUCAGAUAAUGCAGCCCUGGCCAAGCUGACUGCAGCCUCAGGCCUGAGUGUCCGUGAGCCAGGACCUUAUGGCUCAGGGACUACAAAUUCCUCACCCCGGAAAUCAUGUGAUAUGAUACACGUCUGUUCUGUCAACUUGAUCAUUUUGAGGUAAUUUGUUACGCAGCAGUAGAUAACCAGUACAUGAACAGUGUACUCUGUGAACCAAAAGAAAAU